ensembl:lncRNA
AUGUAUUUAUUCACAGCCAUAUAUAGAACAAUUUCAGUGACUCAGUUGUGUCUUAUGCCCCCAAGUCCACUUCCUUACUGGACACUCAGGGAGAUGGAGGGGAUGGAAUGCACCUCAAUCCUGGCGGCAGAAGAAGGAUGGAUGGAGUUCCACUGUUUUGGUUACUGCUCUGCUGAGCAUACUUCCUGGGUUGCUGAGCUCAGGCAGGGGGCCUCACACCAGGCUAUGACCAGUGGUUCCUCUGACCAGAGGUUGGAGCUGAGGGAAGAGAUCUGUUACCAGGGAAAUGGAAGCUGGGCCCAUGUGAUUUGAGAAGAAUGGAAAAAGAGCUAAGUAGAAUUUCAGAUGCAGAGUAGGUUCUGGGAGCCUGUUCAGAGCCAUUGAUUUGUGGUUACACAACUAGCGCCUGUGCGUGACCACAGAGACAUACUAGACAUGUGUGCACUCAAUGGGGAUUCUGUCCUGAUGUGCACAGCAACUGUUUCUGGAGGGAGCAUCUAGCAUAUGUGGAGGAGGCUGGACCCAGAACGUGGAAGGAGCAGGACAAUCCUCGUUGUUACAAAAAGCAAGGGCGUAUCUUUUCACACAUGUCUCACUUGGACAUCUGCAUUACCUUCCUAAACUGCUUUCAGUUCAGCUCAGUCGCUCAGUCGUGUCCGACUCUUUGCGACCCAUGAACCAUAACCAUGAGCCCCUGUCCAUCACCAACUCCAGGAGUCCACCCAAACCCAUGUCCAUUGUGUCGGUGAUGCCAUCCAUCCAUCUCAUUCUUUGAUGUCCCCUUCUCCUCCUGCCCUUAAUCUUUCCCAGCAUCAGGGUCUUUUCAAAUGAGUCAGCUCUCCACAUCGGGUGGCCAAAGUACUGGAGUUUCAGCUUCAACACCAGUCCCUCCAAAGAACACCCAGGACUGAUCUCUUUUAGGAUGGACUGAUUGGACCUCCUUGCAGUCCCAGGGACUCUCAAGAGUCUUCUCCAACACCACAAAUCAAAACCAUCAAUUCUUCGGCACUCAGCUUUCUUCACAGUCCAACUCUCACAUCCAUACAUGACCACUGGAAAAACCAUAGCCUUGACUAGAUGGACCUUUGUUGGCAAAGUAAUGUCUCUGUUUUUCAAUAUGCUAUCUAGGUUGCUCAUAACUUUUCUUCCAAGGAGUAAGCCUCUUUUAAUCUCAAAAUCAAGAUUACAGUGAAGUACUUCCUCAUACCUGUCAAGUAGCGAUUAUCAAAAAGACAACAAGUAAGUGUUUGUGAGGAUGUAGAGAAAAGGAAACACUCAUGCGAUGUUGGUAGGAAUGUACACUGGUGCAGCCACUAUGGAGACAAUGAGGGUUUCCUCAAAAACUGAAAAUCAGAACUACCAUAUGAUCCAGGAAUUCCACUUCUUAGUAUUUUUCUGAAUAAUAGAAGAAACGCUAGUCACAAAAGAUAUAUGUGCUCCUCUGUUCACUGCAGCAUUAUUUAAAAUAUCUGAGAUAUUGAAGGAACAUAAGUGCCCAUUGAUAGAUGAAUCAAAAAGGAAGAAAUGGUAUACACAGACACAUACAGACAAUGGACUUUUACUCGGCAAUAAGAAAGAAUGCAAUCUUGUCAUUGUUGACAACAUGAAGGGACCUAGACAGUAUUACACCAAGUGAAACUAGGCACACAGAGAAAGACAAAUAUCACACAGCUUUGUUUAUAAGUGGAACCUCAGAAAUAAAAUAAGAGAACAUGGGAAACAAGACAGAAAUAGAGUAAGAGACACAGAGAACAAACUGGUGUUUACCAGAGGAGGAAGGAGUAAGGAGAUGUAUAAAACAGGGAAGGGAUUAUGGGACACAAACUUCCAGUUAUAAAAUAAGUCAUGGGAAUGGAAUAUACACAGGGAAUAUAGUCAAUAACCUCGUAAUAAAUCUCUAUGGUGACAGAUGGUAACCAAACUUAUCCUAGUAAUUCAUUUCACAAUCUUUAAAAAUAUGGAAUCACUCUGUUGUGCACUUGAAACCAAUAUAAUAGCAAAUGUCAACUUUGGGCUUCCCCAGUGGCUCGGUGGUAAAUAAUCCUCCUCCAAUGCUGGAGCUACAAGAGGCAUGGGUUCAAUUCCUGGGUCGGGAAGAUCCCAAGGAGGAGGUCAAGGCUAUCCCAAGAAUACCCACUCUAGUAUUCUUGCCUGAAAAAUCCCAUGGACAGAGGAGCCUGGCAGGCUACAGUCAUGUGGUCGCAAAGAGUUGGACAUGGCUGAUGUGACAACAUGCACACACGCAUGGCAACUUUACUGAGAAAUAAAGAGUGUGGGCUCUGAAUGGAGGAUGCCGAGGUUUGUGGGUCAAUUUUCCUCUGACGGCCUAUAUGACUUGGAGGAAUCCCCCUAACUUCUCUGUCUUCUGCUUUCUCACCUCAUCAAAUAGGAUUGAAGUCUUCCAAAAUGAUGGGUCUGUGAAGGAGGAUUAAGUAAGGUGACAGAAAGAAAUAUACUUGAUGUGGUCUGAUACCUGGUAAAGGAUGAACAAACUUGAAAUGCCAUGUUACUCCUGCUAAACGUACCCACAGGAACUAAAUUCAGCCCCUGAGUUUCAAGAAAACAGGCCCUGCUUAACUUACCUAUUCCCUUGGAGCUGGGAGACAAGUCUUCCAAGAUAAGUUGGGCUCUGAAGCUCUCUGAUGAGAUCACAAGUUCAGAAACCAAAAAAUUCACCUGUUCACAGAAAGCCUAUGCAUUCCUAUACACUAACAAUGAAAAAUCAGAAAGAGAAAUUAAGGAAACAAUCCCAUUCACCAUUGCAAUGAAAAGAAUAAAAUACUUAGGAAUAAAUUUACCUACAGAAACAAAACACCUCUAGUACCCAAAGCAAUCUAUAGAUUCAAUACAAUCCUGAUUGAACUACCAACAGUAUUUUUCACAGAGCUAGAACAAAUAAGCUUCCUUGAUAGCUAAGAAAGUGGAGAAAACCACUACACCAUUCAGGUAUGACCUAAAUCAAAUCUCUUAUGACUAUACAGUGGAAGUGAGAAAUAGAUUUAAGGGACUAGAUCUGACAGAGA